AGGCAUUUAGUUUAAGAAAAAUUAUUGAUUUCGACUCAAAAGCUUGUGGUUAAAGUCCACAAUUGCCUA
rnacentral:tRNA from 1 species